CAAAGGGAUUACCGGUGGCGGAUGGGCAUGCGGCGCAUUAGCUAGUCGGCGGGGUAACGGCCCACCGAGGCGACGAUGCGUAGGGGUUCUGAGAGGAAGGUCCCCCACACUGGUACUGAGACACGGACCAGACUCCUACGGGAGGCAGCAGUGAGGAAUAUUGGUCAAUGGGCGCGAGCCUGAACCAGCCAAGUCGCGUGAGGGAUGACGGUCCUACGGAUUGUAAACCUCUUUUGCCGGGGAGCAAGCGUGCGUUCGUGAACGCGCGUCGAGAGUACCCGGAGAAAAAGCAUCGGCUAACUCCGUGCCAGCAGCCGCGGUAAUACGGAGGAUGCGAGCGUUAUCCGGAUUUAUUGGGUUUAAAGGGUGCGUAGGCGGGAUGCCAAGUCAGCGGUAAAAAUGCGGUGCUCAACGCCGUCGAGCCGUUGAAACUGGCGUUCUUGAGUGGGCGAGAAGUAUGCGGAAUGCGUGGUGUAGCGGUGAAAUGCAUAGAUAUCACGCAGAACUCCGAUUGCGAAGGCAGCAUACCGGCGCCCUACUGACGCUGAGGCACGAAAGCGUGGGUAUCGAACAGGAUUAGAUACCCUGGUAGUCCACGCAGUAAACGAU
rnacentral:rRNA from 1 species